GCUUCGGUGGUGCAGUGGUACCACUCGCCCCGGUAUGGACGAAACGCGGGUUCGACUCCCGUGUGAGACC